rnacentral:lncRNA from 1 species
GAGCAUUUGCUGGAGAUUGGCCUGGAAGAAUCGUUAUACAAUGAUCAUGCCGACGGGUAAGAGGUAGGUUGCGUAGUUCGUCAAAUAUAUCUGAAAAUUCAGCAAGCAAAGGAAGUAUAUUUGGAUCUUCCAAUUUUGUUGGCUCUCCCUUAGUUUGCUGCUCAAGUUGUACCAAAAAUCCACUGCAUGCUUUAUGCAAAACCUUCUUCAUUUGUUGUGUGCAAAUCAUCGUUACGUCGCCCCCACGUUUCCCG